AAGCGCUGAGCCGCACACGUCUCUCAUAUCUCUUUCGCCUUUUACUAAAGAGAUCAGCGGUUGCGGCUCACUCAGGCGCAUAUUACAAUCUUUGGGAGGUCUUUUGGCCUUC
rfam:Gonium pectorale scaffold00020, whole genome shotgun sequence.